GCCAAUGUAGCUCAGGUGGUAGAGCAGCUCACUCGUAAUGAGCAGGCCUGCGGUUCGAGUCCGCACAUUGGCUCCA
rnacentral:tRNA from 6 species